GCAACAUGGCUUUAAAAUUGUCUAGAUAUGUUGCUGGAAUCACAGUGAUAAAGCUUGUGGAUGUUCUUGAAUUGAGUUACACGUCAGAAGAUAAGCAUCAUCCUUGUGUAGAUAUAUGUGGUAGAUUUUCUAAUAUUUUUGAAGGAUAUUAUACCGAGGAAUAUGUUUAUUGAUAUUUACUUUUUUCUUCUUAUUGCUAUGAGUUUAUCCAAGAUGAUUUGUCAGAUGCAGUAGCUACCAGGAAGGAGGUAAUUGAUGAUGUCUGUUGGAUGAUUACUGCUGAUAUUGUAUUAUUCUCACCUGGAGGCAACUUGAAGAUUAUUGAAAGGUAAAAUGUUCUAAAUGCAUAUUGAGGACAGAAAGAAUAAUAUAUUAAAGUUGGAAAAGGGUGAUAUCCUUAAGUCCUGUUUAGUAGUAGUAGUUUGUGUAGAGCCAGAUAUCUUGAAGGAGCAACAUCAGCUAAGGAAAUUAAGGUAGAUGAAAAGAAAGCGUUUCUACUGCGGGUUCUCUAUGGUGAAUAGGAAAUUCAAAAAUUCUCUGGGCAUCUUCACAGGGAGAAAUAUAACGACAGUCAUAAUACAGGUCAAUUUCAUCAAUAUGUACUGAAUCUUUAUCCUGCGUACUUCGUGUAAAAGCUGCGGUUACACGAUCAUUUCCCUUGUUUAUGUACUUGAAUAAGUACUUUAUCGAUUUUGCUUGAUUGUACCAUUCAACAUUAAUA